CUUGGUCAUUUAGAGGAAGUAAAAGUCGUAACAMGGUUUCCGUAGGUGAACCUGCGGAAGGAUCAUUAAUGAAAAGUUCUUCUGAACCAAUCAUCACUCCAUUGUUUACCCACCCCUAUUGUUGCUUCCACUGGACAGGUCGACCCGUUAAAAGGUAGACCCUCUGGCGCACAACACUGAACCGGCCUUAAAAACGUCGACUUGGUUGUUGUAUGCUGGGGAGCGCCGGUGGGCAACCCACUUUAAAAAAAUACUUAAAUAUGAUAGAGCUGUCUGAACCAAUUUUUUAUAAAAACCUUAUAAAACUUUCAACAACGGAUCUCUAGGCUCUUGCAUCGAUGAAGAACGCAGUGAAAUGCGAUACGUAAUGUGAAUUGCAGAAUCUCGUGAAUCAUUGAAUCUUUGAACGCACAUUGCGCCCUAUGGUAUUCCAUAGGGCAUGCCUGUCUGAGCGUCAGCUCCCCCCCACUCAAGCUCUUUUGCUUGGAUUAUUUUGGACGAGCAGUCUCUUUUGAUUGCUGCCUAUAAAUUCAUAGGCAGUAUGGUACUCACUCCAAGCUGAGCGUAAUAAUUAAAAAAAUCACGCCCAUAUUGAAGUGACAUCGUACUCGCCCUUAACCCACAAAUUUUUUUUUUGGGUGACCUCAGAUCAGGUAGGGAUACCCGCUGAACUUAAGCAUAUCAAUAAGCGGAGGAAAAGAAACCAACAGGGAUUGCCUCAGUAACGGCGAGUGAAGCGGCAAAAGCUCAGAUUUGGAAUCUGGCGUCAUAUUGGCGUCCGAGUUGUAAUCUGUAGAAGAGUAUUCGAGUGUGGCGCUGGCUUAAGUUCCUUGGAACAGAACGUCAUAGAGAGUGAGAACCCCGUUAACGGCCUUUGUCUUAUGCUCAUGUGAAUCUCCUUCAACGAGUCGAGUUGUUUGGGAAU
rnacentral:sRNA from 1 species